AACGAACGCUGGCGGCAGGCUUAACACAUGCAAGUCGAACGCCUCCUUCGGGGUGAGUGGCAGACGGGUGAGUAACGCGUGGGACCGUGCCCUUCAGUUCGGGAUAACCCCGGGCAACUGGGGCUAAUACCGGAUACGUGCGAGAGCAGACACAUUCAUCGCUGAAGGAUCGGCCCGCGUCUGAUUAGCCAGUUGGUGGGGGAAUGGCCCACCAAGGCGCCGAUCAGUAGCUGGUCUGAGAGGAUGAUCGGCCACAUUGGGACUGAGACGCGGCCCGAACUCCUACGGGAGGCAGCAGUGGGGAAUACUGGACAAUGGGCGGAAGCCUGAUCCAGCCAUGCCGCGUGGGUGAUGAAGGCCUGAGGGUUGUAAAGCUCUUUCGUCCGGGACGAUAAUGACGGUACCGGAAGAAGAAGCCCCGGCUAACUUCGUGCCAGCAGCCGCAGUAA
rnacentral:rRNA from 1 species